rnacentral:rRNA from 1 species
UACGGAGGGUGCGAGCGUUGUCCGGAAUUACUGGGCGUAAAGCGCGCGUAGGCGGACCUGCAAGUCGGACGUGAAAUCCCUCGGCUUAACCGGGGAACUGCGUCCGAUACUGGAUGGCUUGAGUUUGGGAGAGGGAUGCGGAAUUCCAGGUGUAGCGGUGAAAUGCGUAGAUAUCUGGAGGAACACCGGUGGCGAAGGCGGCAUCCUGGACCAACACUGACACUGAGGAGCGAAAGCCAGGGGAGCAAACGGG